AUAAAAUCUAUGAAGAGAAGAGUACUUUCUUAGGCGUUCUUAAAGCGAGCAGAUUGUGGUGGGAGUUCUGUAGAAACCUAGGUUAGGAAGAGAGUCUCGGAGAUGCUACCUGAAAUACAAAAUAAAUUUUUGUUAAGUAAGGUGUGACGUUAGCUGCGUUAAAGCUUUGAGUGAAUUAGACAGUAUUAGUGUUUAAUUAAAUAGAGUGGUACCGCGGAAAAUCCGUCUCUACA
rnacentral:ncRNA from 1 species